rnacentral:lncRNA from 1 species
CGGUCGUUCAGGAAGAACAUGGUGUCGUCGGCGGCGGUCCAGAAGAGCACCAACGUUAACAACAAAAGUAACAAAGAUGGUGUAGUGUCGGCGGCGGAGAGCGAGCAUAAGGCGGCGGCUCCGGCUCCGUCAGCUGCUGUGGCGGGCUAGGGGGGGGGGGCCGUCCGCUGCUGUGGCGGCUAGCGGAGGAGGGGCGAGCUUCGUGAAGGUGAGCAUGGACGGAGCUCCGUACCUGAGGAAGGUUGACCUGAAGAUGUACGGAAGCUACAGAGAGCUGUCGGAUGCGUUGACCAAGAUGUUCGGUUCCG